UAGAGGAGAAAGGGGGCUACAAUUUCCUCAAAUGAUAACCUCAAUUCUACAUUGGUGGGUUCUAAGUCGCCCAUUGUCAUGCUGGAGCAAUCGGAGCAAUUGGCUGUGUAAAACUGAAACUCGCCACGAAACUGCAUCGGUUUCUUAUAUGCUGACAGUGAAAUUCCCGUGCCACGGAAUUGCUGCAUCUGCAAUUACACUUGUUGGCCGUCUCGUCUGUCUGUGCCACACCGCCGGCUCAUAAUACUACACUUGUAACUAAAUGUCGAUCGAGAGAAAAAAAGAAACAAACUGCUGUCGCAGUCGAAGGCAUUUUGCCGGCCGAAUUUGGACAGGCCGCUUCUGAUUGGCCUGGUCUGGCCAAUUGACGGAAUCUAUGGAUUCCGAUCCAUUCCAGAGUGCCUGACUCGAAUUGCCGAUUCGGUUGCAUCAGCCAUAAAAGAAAACUGCACUCCACAGCUGAAAAACUCAGCCUGGCUUUAUGUUGAACAAAAUUUUACUAGACCAGGUUUCAAAAGCUCCCGAAAGGUAGGCUAUGGAUUUUUACAUCAUCGCUUUAUCGCAAAACAAAUUUCGAAUAAGAUGGAAAUUAAAAUGUAGUAUUACUUGAGAGCUAAUCAUUAUAAAAAAUGAUUUAAAUAUAUUUCUGCCAUUCAUAGGUUCACAUUAAUGUUAAAAUUGCUUUAAAUCAAAGUUCUUUUUUCAGUUGUAUGAAUGAAGUAAUCUUGGAAAAGUUAUAGUCGCACAUAAUAAUUAAUUUAUAAUCGAAAUAUAAAUCAUUUGGUCUGGUUGUUAAUAUUUUAAGGUAGCUGCAACCCUUUGUAAUACCAGCAAUUUAUAUAACCAUUUUUAAAACCGGAUGUAAAUCAUUUGAAUGACAGCGCUUUUUUAACAAACGAAAAUUAAAACUUUCCGCCUUCUGAUAAUUGCUGAUAUUUGAAACCCCCUAUGAAAAGUGGACUUCCGGGCAAAACGCGCUUAGAAUACUAUACUUUUGAAGGUACUUUUAUUAUAAAUAUUCCUAUCAGUUCAAAAACAAAUCUCAGGUUAUCGGCUAUAGUUCGUACAGUUCAAUCUUUAAUCACUGCAGCGUCAUCAAAAUAAGUUUUACAAUAACAAGAGAAAAAUCAUUUGAGUAAGUAAAUUAAAGUCUAACAUUCAUUCAUCUUCUGAAAACGAGAAAAGUCUUACACGUGUGCUUGCUGAUAUUGUCGUAAAAAUUGCUAAUUUAUUUCACGCCAUUUUUGUUCGACAGAAAUGUUUUCAAAUAUAAUUUUCUUGUUUAUUUCCCCAGCAAUAAUAUUUGCAUCUAAAAGGCAGAUCGCCAAAAUUGAUAUUUAUCAAACGACAGCGGAUGGGUUGCAUAAAUAUUUAGAAAAUAACGACCAGCACCUUGAACCUGGGAGAUAACUCACAAUAUUGAUUAACAAAAGCGCUCAAAGUACGUGCACCUCGCCUUGGCGCUUACGUGAUUUGUGCCUUUUAAAAGGCAAGAGACUGGUUGAUUAUAGACCUUUUUAUCUGAUCCCCCGCUCUUCAGACUAAUUGAUAAUUGUAAUCAAUCUGAGCUGCUCGUGUCAGAGUGUCCGGUUUUAAGGUCUUACAAAGCAUUUUUAGUCUCAAUUUAGCCGUCGUCGUCACAUCAAAGGCCAAUUAGCGACAUCGAGCCACUAAUCUACUCGUAAACUUAAUUGGCAAACAUGCCACACCAGCAAUUUAGGCGACAUAUUUUUAGCACAUUGACCAGACUGAUGAGAGAU